AUAACAUCAACAGUGCGCUUAAAAUAAGAAGAAUAGGGAUCAUGAAAAACGUUUAUAAUGGGUUGUAAUCGAUUAAAUGUGUGAUUGAUACAAGCAGUCUCAUAUAGCGUAGCCGAACAUCAAAAAGAAGGAAGCUCAUUUCAAACACCGGUAAAACGGACGGUUCUAAUAAAGAUUUGCUUCAUUUUCUUUUCUAAAUAUGAUACCCAGCGUGGAACCAUCGGUAUUGAAUGUUGC